GACGAACGCUGGCGGCGUGCCUAAUACAUGCAAGUAGGACGCAGUUGCGAACGGGUGAGUAACGCGUAGGUAACUGCCUAUUAGAGGGGGAUGAAUAUUGGAAACGCUAGCUAAUACCGCAUACUAGUAGAUGGACCUGCGUUGUAUUAGCUAGUAUGUAGGGUAAUGGCCUACCUAGGCGACGAUACAUAGCCGAACUGGGGGGGUGGUCGGCCAACCUGGGACUGGGACAAGGCCCAGACUCCCUCGGGAAGGAGCAGUAGGGAAUCUUCGGCAAUGGGGCGAACCCCGAACCGGCAACGCCGCGGGAGUGGAGAAGGUUUUCGGGUCGUAAAGCUCUGUUUUUUAGGAAGCGGUACUUAACCAGAAAGCGACGGCUAACUACGUGCCAGCAGCCGCGGUAAUUC
rnacentral:rRNA from 1 species